AUUGAACGCUGGCGGCAGGCCUAACACAUGCAAGUCGAACGAGUGGCGGACGGGUGAGUAAUGGCUGGGAAACUGCCUGCUGGAGGGGGAUAACUACUGGAAACGGUAGCUAAUACCGCAUACCAUCAGAUGUGCCCAGAUGGGAUUAGCUAGUUGGUGGGGUAACGGCUAACCAAGGCGACGAUCCCUAGAUGGGCUGAGAGGAUGACCGUCCACACUGGAACUGAUACACGGUCCAGACUCCUACGGGAGGCAGCAGUGGUGAAUAUUGCACAAGGGGCGCGAGCCUGAUGCAGCCCUGCCGCGUGUAUGAAGUAGGCCUUCGGGUUGUAAAGGACUUUCAUUGGGGAUGCGUUACCCGCAGAAGAAGCACCGGCUAACUCCGUGCCAGCAGCCGCGGUAAUAC
rnacentral:rRNA from 1 species